GUUUCUGACUUUGAGAAUGCACAACCAGAAAGAAAGUCAAUCCGGAGAUCUAUGUCUGAAAACGAAGGAUUUGAAAGGAAAACAGUGAGGGACACAAUCUGGCAGGAACCCCGCAAGCCUGAGAAUGAUUCCCACAUCAGAAAACUCUGUCAGCUAAAAGGUAAUUGCUAAAUUCAGUUCAGCUGACUUUGCAUUUUCCCAAAGUAGCUUAAAGGGCAGGAAAGAAAAAUUUACAUCUUUCCCUAUUAAAAUAAGCAGGGCAUUGUGGUCUACUUAAAAAAGGAAAAACAACUAGAAUAGGAGGUAUAUAUUAUAAUAGGAUAUAUAUGUGUGUCUGGGUGUGUAUAGAUACUCAUAAACAUAUAGAAAGGAAGUAGAAUCUAAUUAGGUUGACUGUUGAAGCAAAGAAUCAAUUGCAAAUAAUAUUUGAAAGUCUUUAAUGUCUGUAAGAAUUUUAACAUGUGUUAAAAAUCAUCCCAUAGAAAAACCCUCCAAAAUAACAUCAAUAUAUUAAUAGUUGUUAAAACAUUUAAGUUUUCCUUAAAAAUAUAGAAGAGCACCCUUGAUUAUUAAUACAAAAUUAUAUCAUUUCAUAAUUUAAAAAUUCCCAAGAAGAGAAAAUUAGCAGCCAGGUGUAGAAAACUGUAUUAAUAAUAAAUGACUUCAAAAUUAAAAUUACUUAACUUCGGGAAGGUAAUGAAUAAAACAAAAAGUCUUCAGAGUUCACAAACAUGAACAACUGCAUAAAAAGUUGCUUGGUAUUCUCCCUUUAAUGUUACUAGAACAAAAAAAAUUAUGUUAGUUAUUGAUUAUUU
rnacentral:lncRNA from 1 species